UUCCGGUGAUCCUGCCGGACCCGACUGCUAUCAGAGUGAGAUUAAGCCAUGCGAGUCAACGUAGCAAUACGUGGCACACGGCUCAGUAACACGUAGUCAACAUGCCCAGAGGACGUGGAUAAACUCGGGAAACUGAGGCUAAACCGCGAUAGAUCAAGAUAUCUGGAAUGGUUUUUGAUCGAAAUCUAUAUGGCCUUUGGAUUGGACUGCGUCCGAUCAGGCUGUUGGUGAGGUAAUGGCCCACCAAACCUGUAACCGGUACGGGCUCUGAGAGGAGGAGCCCGGAGAUGGGUACUGAGAAAAGGACCCAGGCCCUAUGGGGCGCAGCAGGCGCGAAACCUCUGCAAUAGGCGAAAGCCUGACAGGGUUACUCUGAGUGACUUUCGCUAAGAAAGUCUUUUGACAUCUCUAAAAAUGGUGUAGAAUAAGGGGUGGGCAAGUCUGGUGUCAGCCGCCGCGGUAAUACCAGCACCCCGAGUGGUCGGGACGAUUAUUGGGCCUAAAGCAUCCGUAGCCGGUUUUACAAGUCCUCCGUUAAAUCCAGCUGCUUAACAGAUGGGCUGCGGAGGAUACUAUAAGACUAGGAGGCAGGAGAGGCAAGCGGUACUCAGUGGGUAGGGGUAAAAUCCGUUGAUCCAUUGAAGACCACCAGUGGCGAAGGCGGCUUGCCAGAAUGCGCUCGACGGUGAGGGAUGAAAGCUGGGGGAGCAAACCGGAUUAGAUACCCGGGUAGUCCCAGCUGUAAACGAUGCAGACUCGGUGAUGGACUAGCUUUAUGCUAGUCCAGUGCCGCAGGGAAGCCGUUAAGUCUGCCGCCUGGGUAGUACGGUCGCAAGACUGAAACUUAAAGGAAUUGGCGGGGGAGCA
rnacentral:rRNA from 1 species